UACGUAGGUGACAAGCGUUGUCCGGAUUUACUGGGCGUAAAGAGCGCGCAGGCGGUCGAUCAAGUCGAGUGUGAAAGCCCCCGGCUCAACUGGGGAGGGUCAUUCGAUACUGAUCGACUCGAAGGCAGGAGAGGGUAGUGGAAUUCCCGGUGUAGUGGUGAAAUGCGUAGAUAUCGGGAGGAACACCAGUGGCGAAGGCGGCUUCCUGGACCGGUUCUGACACUGAGGAGCGAAAGCGUGGGGAGCGAUCCGG
rnacentral:rRNA from 1 species